rnacentral:rRNA from 1 species
UGAAUUUAAUGAAAGGUUAACUUGAUUAAGUUAGUUAUAUUUUUUUUACGGCAUUUAACAGAAAUUUUGGCAAAUUAUAUAUUUUAAGGACGCAUCAAAUCGAAAAUUAUAAUGAAGUCUAUACUUGUGAUUUAUAAAUUUCCUAAAUAAAAAUAAUAGUAAACCGAAAAUUUGUGAAGUGAAUCAUCUCAGUAACAAUUAAAAAAAUCAACCGAAAACUUUAAAGUAGCGGUGAGCGAAAUUUGGCUUAAGCAUAAAAAAUAAUUUAUUAAAUAUUUUAAAAAUAAUUUAUUAUACUAAAAAAGGUAAAAGUCCUGUGUAAAUAUUAAUUAAUAAAUCUUAUUGAAGUAGUGUGUUGUUAUACAUGAAAAUGGGAGAACCACCUUCCAAGCUUAUAAUAUAAUUUGACCGAUAGUGAACGAGUACUGUGAAGGAAACUUGAAAAAAAAUAAAAAAUAAAAAAAAUUGAAUGUCAAAAAAUUACUCGAAGUGUUAAUGAUAUAACGAGAUGCUUUUUGCAGAACGAGUCAGUAAGUUAAUUUUUAUAGCAAUUUUAAUAUGUAAAUAAAGAUAUUUUAAGUUAUAUGUAUUAGACCUGAAACCAAGUGAUCUAAUUAUGAACAAGUUGAAUUUAGUAUAACAAUUAAAGGAAGACUGAACUUUUAUAUGUGGCAAAAUAUAAAGAUGAUUUGUGAUUAGGAGUGAAAGUCUAAUCAAACUUGGUGAUAGCCGGUUUUUCACGAAAUGUAUUUUAGUACAGCGCUAAUUUAAUAAUUAAUUAAUGUAAAGUAAAAAAUUAUUUUAUUUUUAACUCAGAAAUUAAUUAAUGUCUAAAGUAAGUAAAUUAGUAGUCAGUCUUUGAGCGAUAAGGUUUUUAGACUAAAGGAAAACAAUCCAGAUCGUUUGUUAAGGUAUUAAAUAUAUAAUUUAGUAAAAAGAUUUUUUAAAAUACAAAUAUUUUUAAUAGGCUUAGAAGCAGCCUUUUAUUUGAGAAAGCGUUUUAGCUCAUUAUUAUUUUUUAAUUAAUUAAAAAUUUCAGAUAAUAAAUUAUAAACCGAUACAGCGAAUAAUAAUUUAUUAAGAUAAAGUUGUUAUGGUAGUGAAACAUUUUGUUAUUAAAAAUAAAAUUUGAAAAAAUACUAUAUUUACAAACAAAAACGAAAAUGCUGACAUGAGUAGCGAAAAAUUAUGUUUAAUCAUAAUCAUAAAAAACAAUAGGUUUUCAAUGUAAUUUUAAAUUCAUUGAGUUAAUCGGUUCCUAAAAAUUAUUUUUAAUAAAUUAAUUUGAUGGUCAUGUAGUUUCAUAACUAUAAUUCUUUUUGCGUUAACAAAAGUUAUAUAAAAGAAAAAAUAUUUAAUAUUAAAAAAUAAAAAAAUGAUAUUAAAAAAAAUAUUUUUUUUCAAGAAAAAAGCAAUGAAAAAAACCGUACUUAAUCCGACACAGGUUUUUAUUUAUGUUUGAAAAAAUUAUACUAAAGGAACUUGGCAAAUUAAUUCUGUAUGUUAGCUAUAAAGAAUAUCUGAGUAAAAUAUGUUUAGAUAGCAUAAACCAAAAAGCAACGACUGGUUACCAAAACCACAAAACUCUGCUAAUUUUUAAAGACGUAUAGGGUUUGAGGCCUGCCCAGUGCUUAAAAAUGAAACACUUAAAAAUAAAAUUUAAGUAAUAAGUUUAAGUAAACGGCGGUUCUAACUAUAAGAAUCCUCAGGUAGCGAAAUUCCUUGACGGGUAAAUUCCGUCCCGCAUGAAUGGCUUAACGAUUGCUUUACUGUCUCUAGUAUAACUUCAGCGAAAUUACAAUAUUCAUGAAAAUGUGAAUUACUUACAAUAAGACGGAAAGACCCUAGAUCCUUUACUUUUAUCUUGUAUUGUAAAAAAUUAAUAUUAACACAGAAAAAAUGGGAGUGAACAACACAAACUGAAAUACCAUUUAUAUAUUUUUAUUUUUUACUUAAAAAUUUAGAAAAAUUUUAGUGUAUUUCUAGAGAAAGUGCAAGAGAGAAAGUUUACUUGGGAUGAGUACCUCCUAAAAAGUAACGGAGGUGUACAAAGGUAAAAAUUCAGUGUAAUAGCUUCAUUUUGCUUGAUAAUAAAAUUAAUAUAUUAAAUUAGGACGUAAGUCAGUUAUAGUGACCCAAAUUUAAGUGUGGAAUUAAAUUUGUUCAACAGCUAAAAGGAACUCUAGGGAUAACAGAUUCAUCAUGAUUUAAAGUUCUUAUUAAAAUCAUGGUUUGAUACCUCGAUGUCGACUCAUCUUAUCCUGAAAUUGAAAAAGAUUUCAAGGGUCUAGUUGUUCGCUAGUUAAAAAGGUACGUGAGUUGGGUUCAGAACGUCGUGAGACAGUUCGGUCCCUAUCUAUUGUAAGAAAAAAAAAUAAAAAGAAUUAUUUUUAGUACGAGAGGACCAAAAUAUAUUAACCAAUGGUAAAUUGAUUAAACUAUAUCAAGUUUAUUGUCAAGUAGCUACGUUAGUUUAAUUUAAAUACUGAAUGAAUCAAUAGUAUCAAAAUAACUUUAAAAUUUUUUCGAACAAUCUAAAAGAAAAUUAGAUAGAUCGGUCUAAAAUUAAUUUUUAGUAAUAAAAAAAUUAUAGAUACGAAUUUGUCAAAAAAUUUAACUAACUUAUUCAA